CGAUGAUGCCCAGCUUGCUGGGCGGAUUAGUGGCGAACGGGUGAGUAAUACGUGAGUAACCUGCCCUUGACUCUGGGAUAAGCCUGGGAAACUGGGUCUAAUACUGGAUACUACCUCUUACCGCAUGGUGGGUGGUGGAAAGGGUUUUACUGGUUUUGGAUGGGCUCACGGCCUAUCAGCUUGUUGGUGGGGUAAUGGCUCACCAAGGCGACGACGGGUAGCCGGCCUGAGAGGGUGACCGGCCACACUGGGACUGAGACACGGCCCAGACUCCUACGGGAGGCAGCAGUGGGGAAUAUUGCACAAUGGGCGGAAGCCUGAUGCAGCGACGCCGCGUGAGGGAUGACGGCCUUCGGGUUGUAAACCUCUUUCAGUAGGGAAGAAGCGAGAGUGACGGUACCUGCAGAAGAAGCGCCGGCUAACUACGUGCCAGCAGCCGCGGUAAUACGUAGGGCGCAAGCGUUGUCCGGAAUUAUUGGGCGUAAAGAGCUCGUAGGCGGUUUGUCGCGUCUGCUGUGAAAGCCCGGGGCUCAACCCCGGGUCUGCAGUGGGUACGGGCAGACUAGAGUGCAGUAGGGGAGACUGGAAUUCCUGGUGUAGCGGUGAAAUGCGCAGAUAUCAGGAGGAACACCGAUGGCGAAGGCAGGUCUCUGGGCUGUUACUGACGCUGAGGAGCGAAAGCAUGGGGAGCGAACAGGAUUAGAUACCCUGGUAGUCCAUGCCGUAAACGUUGGGCACUAGGUGUGGGGGACAUUCCACGUUUUCCGCGCCGUAGCUAACGCAUUAAGUG
rnacentral:rRNA from 1 species